UUAGAGUGUAGGGACGGCAGGUAGCCUAGUGGUUAGAGUGUAGGGACGGCAGGUAGCCUAGUGGUUAGAGUGUAGGGACGGCAGGUAGCCUAGUGGUUAGAGUGUAGGGACGGCAGGUAGACUAGUGGUUAGAGUGUAGGGACGGCAGGUAGCCUAGUGGUUAGAGUGUAGGGACGGCAGGUAGCCUAGUGGUUAGAGUGUAGGGACGGCAGGUAGACUAGUGGUUAGAGUGUAGGGACGGCAGGUAGACUAGUGGUUAGAGUGUAGGGACGGCAGGUAGCCUAGUGGUUAGAGUGUAGGGACGGCAGGUAGCCUAAUGGUUAGAGUGUAGGGACGGCAGGUAGCCUAGUGGUUAGAGUGUAGGGACGGCAGGUAACCUAGUGGUUAGAGUGUAGGGACGGCAGGUAGCCUAGUGGUUAGAGUGUAGGGGCGGCAGGUAGCCUAGUGGUUAGAGUGUAGGGACGGCAGGUAGCCUAGUGGUUAGAGUGUAGGGACGGCAGGUAGCCUAGUGGUUAGAGUGUAGGGACGGCAGGCAGUCUAGUGGUUAGAGUGUAGGGACGGCAGGUAGCCUAGUGGUUAGAGUGUAGG
ensembl:lncRNA